rnacentral:rRNA from 1 species
GAAUAUUGCGCAAUGGGCGAAAGCCUGACGCAGCCAAGCCGCGUGUGUGAAGAAGGCCUUCGGGUUGUAAAGCACUUUCAGUAAGGAAGAAGGCCAGGGGGCUAAUACCUUUCUGGAUUGACAUUACUUACAGAAGAAGCACCGGCUAACUCCGUGCCAGCAGCCGCGGUAAUACGGAGGGUGCGAGCGUUAAUCGGAAUUACUGGGCGUAAAGCGCGCGUAGGCGGUUUUUUAAGUCGGAUGUGAAAUCCCCGGGCUUAACCUGGGAACUGCAUCCGAUACUGGGAGACUUGAGUACGAGAGAGGGAGGUAGAAUUCCACGUGUAGCGGUGAAAUGCGUAGAUAUGUGGAGGAAUACCGGUGGCGAAGGCGGCCUCCUGGUUCGAUACUGACGCUGAGGUGCGAAAGCGUGGGGAGCAAACAGG